UGACACUAAGUCUGGAAGACAGCAGCUAAUAAAUAAAUGCUAGCUGAAUGAAUGGCGAAAAAAUGAAUAACCCUGAGUCAACCAUCGUAUCUUUAAGAAAUUAUUAUAAUAGUAACAACAAGGAGAUGACUAAUAUAAUUUUACUAAGUUUAGAAAGCCUUGGAAGGUUAAACAUCAUGAGAGCAGUAGUCCUAUCAAGUGUUUUAUUAUAUUAGCAAUUAUCUUUUACAUUCUAGUAAAAUCCAGGCCUUUAUUCAUAUUUUUCUCUGUGAAAGGUACAAUCAAUCAAUUAUGAAGGUGAAAUUAUGUUGAUGCUGAGGCAGUAUGGGGAAACCUAAAUAGGUGGAGUACUCAAGUCACAGAAAAUCAUGAAAAUGAAGCUCAAGUGAUGGAUUAGUGAAGACGGAAGAGAAAACAUCCCUUCAUCUCUGUACUUGUGAUGCCUGAGAAGGAGCAAGUAUUUCACGAAUGUUUGUGGAGUAAAGAAAAAUUAUCAAGUCCUUUGAGAAAUGACUGCAGGAGAGGUAGGAGCAAUCGUUACUUUCUCCUGGGAGCCUGGAAGCUGCCUUGCCCCCACACUUCCCCUGUGUACUCCUCUUCACUUCUCACUGUGAAAAGGCAAAAUAAAAUGGAGAAGGAAAAGUGGAUGAGUGGAAGGUAAAAGGUCAAAGGUGAGUUACAAUUGAGUCUUCAGAGUUCAGCAGUUAGUGAAGUAAAGAGAAAAAGAGAAUGUACCAGUCCACCACAGAAGACCCCAGGAAACCCACAGCAGCCUUUGGGUACUUCCUCAGGGGAGGGGGCAAGCAUAAGAAUAACAGGGAGUUUAAAAUCCUGCUAAACUAUUUCUUCGCAAAGCUGUAUUUACUUUCUGAAGUGCCUGCUAUCAGUGCCCUAUAAUCAUAGAAUCAAAAAGGAAGAAAAAUGUUUAUUUUCAUGCAGUUGCUGCCUAUUACCAUGAAUGGAAAUAUAUUUAAUACCGAUGUUUUCCUGGUGGUCCAUAUAACUUUUAUUUCUUCUACCGAAAGAAGAAUAAAAAUUAAGCCAUCCAAAGCAAAGCACCUUUUCUGAAUUUCAAGUAGACAGCUAGGCAGCACCAGAAGCUGUUAUAAAUGGGUACUCCACAGGAAUUCAGAUAAACCAAGAUGGAUUUCCUCAAACAUGUUUGCUUACAAAACCCUUUAAUUCUUAAUUCUUUCUCUCCUUCUCUCUCCUUUACACACACACACACACACACACAAACAUACACAUGCACACACACACACACACACACACACACAGCAUGUGCUCUGUUACCUGCAGAGUUGAUAUUAUAAUAAACCAGGAUGUCAAACACAGGGGAAAGUGCAUACAAAGAGUGUUUUAAAGACAAAACUUCACCAGGGUCUUCAGCAAUCUUGUUUUCUGCUGAAUUUGAGAUGUCAGAAGAGAACAUUUCUCCCUUGUCUCCCGUAAGAAUGACUCUAUUUGUUCUUUUUCAGGGACCCCCUCAAGGGUCCUGUCCCAGAACAAAAUGAAAAAUGACGCUUUAUUUUUCACAGUCUCUUUUGUCAAGAAGUUCACGACGCUUUAGGAAACUGGUCUCAUAAAUCUUCAAGACACUCUUGAGAGGUAGAAAGCAAUGGUUUCACCCCCAUUAUACAGGUGAGGAAACUGAGGUAUAGCAGCAGAGGAAGAGUAACUUGCCAGGGCCUUUAAUAACAGUCUGAAAAACAGCAGAUUUUCUCUCUUCCAAGUCAGCCCC
rnacentral:lncRNA from 1 species